rnacentral:lncRNA from 1 species
UGCCCCUCUUGGAUGUUUCUAUGCUUUUUCAAUCUUAACUAAUGUGUUUAUGAUUUCAAAUGUAAGGAUAGCCCAAAAUUAAAAUGUUUAAUCACAACAAAUGCCCAAAAUUAAAAUGACCAAAUACAAUUUCAUAUACCAAAGCAAUUUAGGGUUUAGGGUAACGAUAGGGUUGAUUGUGUAGGCUUUAGUUUUAGGGUUUAGGGUAAUGACAAUGUUGAGUGAUUCAUUCAAAACAAAAAAAGUUAUGGUGUUUAUUGAAGGUUACCAAAAGAUAAAUAAUGACAAAAUUAAGAAUUAGUUAAGCUUUCCACCACACCUUUUUCUUUGAGGGUUAACGUUUUAGUGUGAAGUUUUAGGGGUUAGUGUAUAAAUUGGUAUACUUUGAGUGUUUAGGAUUUAUAUGUUCACAUAAUGAUGUAUUCUUUGCAUUUUUUUAGUUUGUAUUGAUUAUAUGAUCAUUUUAAAAUGUAGAUAUAUCAAAUACAAGUUUACACCAUCCUAAAUCAUCUCAAAAUC